ACAUGUCUCUUAGAAAUUAUUAAGAGUCAGGCCUGCCCAGUGAUUGCUUUUUAACGGCCGCGGUACCCUGACCGUGCAAAGGUAGCAUAAUCAUUUGCCUUUUAAUUGAAGGCUGGUAUGAACGGUUUGACGAGAGUAAAGCUGUCUCACAUAUAUUCAAUAAAAAUUAAUUUAAAGGUGCAAAAGCCUUUAUUACCCAAAAAGACGAGAAGACCCUGUUGAGCUUUAAUUUAACUUAAGUACUAACUAUAUAUUAAUAUAAUUCACUUACUUAAUAAAAAUUUUAAUUGGGGCGAUUAAGGAACACGCAAAAGCUUCCUGACUACUAAAAUAAAAUAUUCCAUAGAUUAAAUCGAUCCAGCAAUGCUGAUCAACAAAAUGAGUUACCACAGGGAUAACAGCAUAAUUCUUUUUGAGAGCUCAUAUCGAAAAAAGAGAUUGUGACCUCGAUGUUGGACUAGGGUAACCGGAAGGUGCAGCCGCUUUCCCGCUUGGUCUGUUCGACCAAUAAUUCCCUACAUGAUCUGAGUUCAGACCGGCGUAAGCCAGGUCAGUUUCUAUCUUUUGUUUAAAUUUAUUUAGGCUAGUACGAAAGGACCGCUUAAAGUAAACACUUUACCACAUAGUGAACAAUAACUAACUCCCAAUUUA
rnacentral:rRNA from 1 species